GUUGUGAGCUCUCCGGCCACACCCGCUCCUUCACUUUCAAGGUUGAGGAAGAGGAGGACACGGAACACAUGCUGGCGUUGAACAUGCUGUGCCUUACCGAGGGGGCCAAGGAAGAGUGUAAUGUGGUGGAAGUUGUGGCCCGGGAUCAUGACAACCAGGAGAUUGCAGUUCCUGUGGCCAACCUGAGGUUAUCUUGCCAGCCCAUGCUCAGUCUGGAUGAUUUCCAGCUCCAACCACCUGUAACCUUCCGCCUGAAGUCGGGUUCUGGGCCUGUGCGCAUCACUGGCCGGCAUCGGAUUGGUGAGAAGACUGGGCCCUCCCAUCUCUCCACCAGUGCAUCCUGAGUCCCAGAUUGUGGUUCCAGUAUUAUGUGCCUUUCACUGCCCCGCCCAAGCCUAUGAACUUCUGGUAACCUGUCCCAGUUUGUAUAAACAAUGAUCUUUCUGAAGAAAGUGAGGAUGAUGAGAGUGAAGAGGGGGAAGUCAAGCUGUGUGGCAUCCUUCCUGCCAGAAAGCACAGGGACAGGCCCUAGCCCUCUCCGGUUAGCCGCUUGCUACAGGCAUCAUGCACCGUAUGUUCCUGGACAAGUUUCAAGAAUUGUAAAUGUUUUUCUCGUUGAAGAGGAGAGUUUGGGAAGGGGCAGGUGGGAGGAACUUGGACCGGUGCUAAGAGAACUGCGUUCUCCACAGGGCCCUGUGUUUACUCCUACAGGUUGCCUGAAGCUUCCCUUUUCUAUUGGGGUGGGAUGACCUUUGAACAUUGACCCCCCCCCACCUGCCCAGAUUGAAAGUUUUGUGAACCCCCAGGUUAAGUUCUCAGCACUGAAAAAAAAGAAAAAAAAUAAAGUUCAGAACAACGUUUUUAACACUUUUUACAUUUUUAGGUAAAGAUCUAAAUAAAGUGGUAUGUGGUUUUUUUGCAA